ACUUUUAAAAUCUCAAGUAUUCACUAAAAUUGGAAUGACAUAGAAGAUUAGCAUGGCUCCUGUGCAAGGAUGACAUGCAUAUUUGUGAAGCGUUCUAUAUUUUU